GUUGGGACUUUUGCGCGUGUCGAUGUCGGAGGCGGCCUGUGGGAGGGUGAUGAAGUUGACACGUGACAACACGGGAGAGGAUUCGAGGGAGGAUAUGUAGGCCUCUGUACCCUUGGAUUCGAAGGGGAGCUUCAUGAUGAGGACUGUGAUGAAGAGUUUCUCGUCUCGAGAGACAAGGAGCUUUGCCAUCUCCACGGCGGAGAUGAGGUGGCCGGUGCCGGCAUAGGGGAUGAAGACGAGUUUCAUUGGUUGCUUCAUUUGGAAAUUUAUUAGGAGUUUGAUAGCUUUGGAGGAAAUGAAAAUUUAAUUAGCUGAUUGAUGUACAAGCUUCUUUUCUUUUAGAUGUGUGUCUGUGUAUGUAUAUACUAUAUAUAUACACAGAUAAAUAUAUACUCACUCUCACACACACACACACAUUAUGGAUGUAAAUGAUGGAGGUGAUGAUCUCAUGCCUUUGCUGGCAUUGGUUAAAUUGUUUAGUUAAUUCGCAGGAUAUUUAUAACAAAGACUUGGAAACCAAGAAAAGGACCUUUGGGGUUCAGAGAAAGUUUCAUGCAUGCCUCUUGGCCACAAAUUACGGAAGAGAAAUUGGAGUAGUGAUCACGGGAAUAGAUAAGUUGUGUGAAUAUUCGAGAAAAAUUAUUAAUAAAAUAAUACGAUAAAUUCUGUAAAUGUUGGAUAGAACCAAGGAACAAAAUGCCGCCGAUAUUAUCGGUUUUUCACAAUACCAAUAUUUUAAUAGGUAUCCAACGGGUUUUCGUCAAAAUAUCGCGAUAUUAUUGAUAAUAUCGAUAAUAUCGCGAUAUUUCCGAAACUAUCGCGAUAUUUUGGAACUGUGCUACUCGGAGAAGAACUGGAGAAGAACGCCGGAGCUUCUACAGCUUCGGCCGACUGUAAAAGAGCACCCUAGACACCGAUCUAGGUAUCAAAAUGAAAUAGAAGACGAGAUGAAUGUUUUUAUAAAUUCUGUUUGCCGUGAAACAGUCGGAGGUGUUUAGAAAGUUCGUCAACACCCACGACCUCGCCGGAGAUGGGUGUGCCUAUUCCCGAGCCGAUUUCGUCCCAAAAACCUUGCAAAAACACAAUUUUGAACUUAAAUUUCACAUAUAAGCUUCAACUAGAACAGAAAGAGGCAAACCCGAAGCUUACCUAACCGGAGAAAUUCAAGAACCUCGCCGAAGUUCCUACGUUCGCCGAGUUGCAGAGACGAGAAGGAGAGGGAGAAAGACAAGGUUGCUAAUGAUGAUGGGUGUCUUCCUGAAGCAGGUGCGAUGGUGUGCGUGUGUGUAUGUGGGUCUCGGACCCUCGGUGCAGAGAGAAAAGAGAGAGACAGUGCCGACGAGGGAGGAGCAGAAGGCGAUGUGGGAGAAGGAUCGAGAGACCUUGGGUCUUUGUGCAUGUGUGUGGGAGAAGGAUCGAGAGACCUUGGGUCUCUGUGCAUGUGUGUAGGAAAUCUGUGUGUGUGUGUGGGAGAAUGGAGAAGGGAGAUCAGAGAAGAGAGAAGGAUGGAGAGAGAGAGACUGUGUGCAUGUGUUGUGUUGUGUUGUGUGCGUGUGUUGUGUUAUGUGCGUGUGUGGUGGCGUGUCGGUGUGUGUGUGUGGUUGGGUCAUCUGACUCACACUCACCUGACAACUUUUACAAUCACUUUUUACAAUUUCAGACCAUGGACAAAAAUAAUAGUGCUUUCAUAAUGAAACUGUGUGCCAUUGUGAGUUUGUGAUAUUCUUUCACAUUCAAAACCGUGUGCCACUGUGAGUCUGUGAUAUUCUUUCACAUUCUCAGAGGUGGAGUAUCAGAGCCAUUCAGAGCAUUUUCGUUUCUUCUUCUUCCCUUACCCCUUUCAAAGUCAUUCCAGAUCCAUUCCAGAGCUUGAACACAAAGGUUCCAUAUUUAAAGUAAGUUUACAAACUUAUAUUUAUAUUAUUGUAAUUUAUACAACAACAAAAAAAUUUGUAUGGACUCGUAUGUUAAUUUUUUUAAGUAAUUAAGUAAUGUUGUAUAAUUAUUCCCUAGGAUAAUUUUAAUAUGUUUAAUGUUAUUUAUUAUUUUAUUAAUAUUAGGUUUGAUUAUCAAAUUGGAUUAUUAUUCAUUAAUAUUAGGUUUUUUAGUUAUCAAAUUGGAUUAUUAUUCAUUAAAUUGGAUUAUUAUCAAUCUUCAAAUGAUUUUGCUUAUGGACAAGGUCAACCAAUCUCGGAUCCAUAUGGGUGACAUGUUAACAAUUACAUGCAAAACUAUUUUGGGGAUUUAUCAUUUGAUAACUACUAUUCACAAUACACUCACUCUACACAUAGAGAUGAUGAAGAUAGUGAAAAAUUUGAACCUCAUAGGAACUCUAUGUGGUACUAAGUCACUCAUGUAUCUUACCAUGCAAUGUAUAAAGUAUAAAAUAUUGUACUAAUUAAUUAUAUAUAAAUGAUUAUGGUGUGUUUAAACUUCUUUCAUUAAUUACUACAUAUUUUCUACACUCACAAUGUUUGCCAGCUCGCUAUAUAAUCAACUUGAUAAUGUUAAAUUCAUCAUGCAAUGCAUUUCCUUCCAAUUUUUUUUGAUAAACUAAUAGAUAAUUGACUAAAUAAACAUCCUGCAAAGUUUCAAUAAAAAUUUCCAAGUUUUUCUUACAAUUUCCGUGGUUUCCAUAUUAUUUUUAUCGAUAUCGAUAUUAUCCCGAUAUUUCCAUCGAUAUUUCUGUGUUUUCGGACUACCGAUAUUUCCGAUAUCAUCGAUAUUUAAUACCUUGGAUAGAACGGGAGAGUUCUUUGUUUUGAAAUCCAACUACAUAAUAUAUAUUUUAAGACUAUCCAAAUUAAAAAUAAAAACUCAAAAAUAAAUCGGAUAGAACGGGAGAGUUCUUUGUUUUGAAAUCCAACUACAUAAUAUAUAUUUUAAGACUAUCCAAAUUAAAAAUAAAAACUCAAAAAUAAAUCGACGACUUGUAGUAGGACUUAUAUAAUAGAGGUGUACCCUAAUAAUUACUUUUAUUUAUUUUUUUAUGAACCAACGUUAUUAUCUACAUUAAAGGGGAGAGAGAGUAGGCUUAAAGUUCACAAUAGACUAUCAAUAUUAUAGUUCAAAUUUAUCUUUAGCAAGAAUCGAAUCUAAAAACUAUCACUUAUAAAUAAAAAAGAAUAUCACUAAACCGUAGUACGAAGUGAUUAAUAAUCAUUUUUUAAUAGUUACAGAAAACAUAAUAUUUCUAACAUUACUCGUCAAUCGAACGGACUUAAGUUGAAUUCAUUUUUAGGCAACUUUUUUCUUUUUAAUAUGCUUUAUUUCUCCAUCCUCACUUCCACGAGCUUAUUCUUCUUCGUUCAAUAUUUUUCUUAUAUACAUUUCCAAUAUUUUAAAUGGAAUUAAUAAAGAAAGACGCAAUGACCUGAGCUGUAAAAGAACAAAUUUGCUUUUUGACCUGGGGGAGUCGUAGCCGACAAGAAUACUGCAGUCUGAAGAAAAAGACAGAUUCCGAAAGCUGACCCGGCAUGCACCUUCCACCUCGUAAUCUAUUUCUUUUUCUUCUUUCUUUAUUUGAACUAUUAUGAUUUAAUCACGUUAAUAUUUAAUAUUAAUUUUUUUAUAAAUAUAAUAAGAUAAAAAAAUAAUAUGACGUUAAUAUUUAAUAUUAAUUUUUUUAUAAAUAUAAUAAAACAAAAAAUAAUAUGUAUGAGAAGAAGAGGAAAAAAGAUAAGAAUAGAAGGAAAGUAGUAAUUAUAUAGACAUAUUGAGGAAACAACGGAGCAUGCAUAUUUAUGACUCCCUUGCCACGUGGUAUCUUACUAUGUUAGUGAUUUCCGCACUCCCUGUUUUUUAAAUUUACACUCUUUCGUUUGGAUUUUUCUUUUAUUUCCUACAGAAGGAGGUCUGAAAGAGGUGUGGAAAUUGCUCCCGAUAAUGUGCACGUCGAUUAAAAUGGAAAUUAAAAACUGCUCAUUGGACUUUGCAUACUAAGAAAUCAUUGGACAAAGAAAUCAUUGGACUUUUGAUUUGUUAUUAUGCUGCUGCACUAAUUAGUCACAGGAAGAUCUGAUCAAUGAAACGGUCCAAUGAUGAGUGUGAGGAACCACCAUCCAUCAACGCUCUCCUGCUCUUGUCACUCAUCUCCUUCACCUUCUUCCUCUGCUCACUCUCAACCUCCAUCACCUCCCUUAUCCCUCUCUCUAUCUCCUCCGCCCUCACCACCACCUCCCCUUCCCUCCUGUAAUCCAUCUUAAUCUCCACCGCCAGUCCCAACUCCCUCACCAGCUCAAACGCAUUCAACUGCUGCUCCACGUACAUUGGCCAAGCCGCAACUGGCACCCCGUACCAGAGACUCUCUAGGGUUGAAUUCCACCCCCAAUGGGACACGAACCCACCCACCGAUGGAUGGCCCAAGACCGCAACUUGCGGGGCCCAUCCUAUGACCUUCCCUGUCCCGGCCGUGCGGUCGAGGAACCCUUGGGGCAGGACUCCGCUGGGAUCAGCAUAAUCACUGGCGAAUGGAAGCUCCCCCUUUGGCGGGGGCUGGCGUAGGGACCACAAGAAUCGGAGGCCGCAGUGCUCAAGCGCGGCGGCUAUCUCCUUCACUUGGUCCCCACCAAAGCAUCCCAUGCUCCCAAAGCACAGGAACACCACCGACAAAGGAGGUUGAUCAUCAAGCCACUCCAGAAUUUCCUUCUUUUUGGCCAGCUCCGAGCCUUCAGGGUCACUCUUCAAGUUCAGUAUGGGCCCUACAGGGUACAGCGACGGGGUUUUGCAGUCGGUAAGAGCUCCGCGGCCGUGGGAUUCUAGCUCCAUGAAGGUGUUUACCAAAAUCCCCUUGGUUUCUCUGAACCUUCUGGCAUGGUUGAUGAACUCUGUGGCGCUAUCCUUGUCCAGAUACAUGCCAGGCAAGACUCUAGCAGGCAUUGGGUUGACAAGACACGGCAAAACCAAAUCAGGAUCCGAUUCCUUCAGCUCAGUGCAGUCCUUGUUCUGCUCGUCAUGAAGGGUUUGGAGGUGGAGCACAAGCCCGAGAAAGCCUGCGCCGGACGUGAAGAAGACGUAGGUAGGAACCCCAAACUCAUUGGCCACGUCUAUCAUGGUGGUGCAGAACAUGUCGAUGACAAACCCGACUAGACUGGGCUUGCAAUCAGACUGAAGGGCCUCACUAGUGAGCUUCGCGACUGCAUCUCUGACGUGUUGUUUGUGAUUUUCAACGAAUAGCUUCAGGAAGAGGCGGGUCUUAAUACCCUUCGUCUCUACGGCUUCCUCCGGGAGGUUGAUGAACCUGAUACGUUCGGCGUCGUCAGCACCCUUGAGCUUCAACUUGGACUCCAAGGGCAGCUUCAUGGUGAGCACUGUGAUGAAAAGCCGGUCGUCUCGAACAACUAAGAGCUUUGCGAUCUCGAACGAGGACGCAAGAUGGCCAAUACCUAUGGCAGGAAUGAACACUAGCUCUCUCUCUCUCUCUCUCUAUAUAUAUAUAUUACACGUAAGUAUGUAUGUGUAUACAUAUCGAAGCAUGCACAUGGAUUGUGGUGUUUUAUAUAACAAAUAUAAACCACUCACAAUUCUUGGAGCUUUCCCUUGGCCCAACCACGAAAGGACGUACAAAGCUUUCAUGUUAUCUUUUUAGUAACGACAGUGCCGGUGACCUUUUGAGGUGAUAAAUCCUGCAUUGCCACACACAUAACGAUGUUUAUAUGUAUAUGGUGUACGUAAUGAAAUCGGUUUCUUCCGUAAGGGAAAAAGGAGAAGCACCAAAGUAUAUUUAAGUAGAAAGUUGGAAAGGAAAAUCUCCAUACGGCUCAACAAAGUUAAAAUAAGCAAAAGCAUUUUUUUAAGUCUUGGCAGCAACGAAAACUUAGUAGAAGAUACUACAAUCAGAUUAUUGUAUAUAAAUGAACCUUUUGUCUGACAAGAAUAUGGAUCGUAAUAAAAAGUUAAAAAGAAAGAUAGGAUCAUAAAAUAAUCAUGAAAAUUAGAGCUUUUACGUGUUGUAUCAGGGAACCCAACGAGAUUCGGAAAAGAAAGUGGAACAGAAUAAACAGAGAAGAAUACCUAGUGAAAGGACUUCCUCCCAUUUCUGCACAGAGGAAAAUGUCCGUCUGCAGCUACAGCACUAGAACUUCCCUUCAAUGGGCAGGGCACAACGGAGCUGUCUGUUUUAGUUUUUGAUGGAGAUUUCCGCGGCCAGAUGCGGUUUCCUCAUGUGCCCUGUAACAUGACCAAAUUACAGAUUUUCUUUCACAGAAUUAUAACCAAUUUAACCUUCAAAAGAACGAAAAGUUUAAUAUUUUCCUCAUUCAUGACUGUAUGUGACUCAGUAAACGUGAGAGCGUAUAUACGUAGUUCACUUUAACAAUAUACAUAUCAGGAAAGUAUAAGACUGCAAGGUAACAUAUGAUAUACUGGCCUUAUGACUCUCUAUCUUAUCCACUGCAGAGAACACAUUACUGAACUCCAUAGCAAACAUAUGAUGGCCUUGAUGGGAAAUAUAUCCCAUGCUGCAAAUUCACAUUUAUAUACUUACUACCAGUUUAGCAAGCAUCCUUCCUAAAUUAUUAUUGCCCAACCAAUUCUAAAAAUUAUUAUUGCCUGCUUCACAACUUCCAUAUAGAAUCCAGAUGGCAUAUUCCAUAUUUGGGUUGUUGUACGAAAGCGACAGAUAUGAGAUCAAUACAUAAGCAAGGCAAAGUUUGAUAAAUACUGAAAUCCAAAUAACCCAAGGAUUUAUACUAUAGUUGAGAAUAAGCCUACGUUUAGUUUGGAGACGGCAAGGAAAUUCCAGUAAUAAGAAAGGGGAUUACAAAAGUGUUUUACAUCACAAACCCAAAUCCCACAUGCACCCAAGCUUACAUAAUGUGGACCCAAAAGUAAAGGAACUAUGUCCUACAUCAUUACAUAUUCAUCAGUGUUUUGCCUCUGCCAAUACAAAGCUUCCAUACACUGAUGAACAACACAAGUUACUUUGGGUGUAGUACCAAUAAGUAGACUCUUAUUCAACCACUUCUUAGCUGCUCUCGGUGCACAAUUAAAUGCAUAUAAACUAGUGUGUUAGAGAAGUCAAAUAAAAGAAAAUCAGUGUACCUUAGGAAGUCAUAUUGAAUGGGCAGAUAGUAGAUACCAGCCUUACAAACAUAGGUGACGUGAGUGAUUUAAAGCUAAGUAACAAAUUCAACCAUAGCCAAUUAGUCAGCAAAGCCACAUAAAUAUUGCUUAUAAUAGCCUUCAUGGGGAGACACAGCACAAAACAUUAAGAUUUUCAAGAGUUCUAAGUAGAUCAACCAAUAUAAUACGACAAUACGAGUCACCCACGAGUAAGCCAAAUGGAAGAAAAUAAACUACUCGUGCAGGGUAUUCCAUGAAGAUCAAAGUAUCAUUAACUAAGCAUGGCCAUGCGCAACACUAUAUACAGAAAUCAUGCUUUUUUAACUGACCUGAAUAUAUGUAUGAGGCGUCUUUGAGAUGGCAGCUUAUUAACUUGCUAUGGCUCAACCGCUAGUGUCCAAAGUUCACUCUCAAAGACCAUGGGGACAGAUUUAAGCGCCAUCUAAAAAGAAUAUAACUUAGACAACUGCUGACCCGCACCAAAAGCUAAAUUAGCAAGAAAGUAGAUUCCAGCUGCAGAUACAAACAUCACGAUACAUCACAUAAACCUAAGAUGAAGCUAAACUCAAUAAAAAGACAUGCCCACUGACUUGCCAGAAACCAGCCAGUCUAGUUUUAGGAAAAUUCCCCCUUUUAAUCCAGUCCUUAACUAUGUAUUUUUAGGAAUCUUGAGAAAAUGCAUAUCUUAGACGAUUAAAAUUGGAUCGACAAUCACAAACGAUAAACUUACAUGAAGGGCAGUUUUCCAUGGAUAGAUAGUUCUUGUUAUGAUCCUGCAAAGGAGUUGCGGAUGCUGCAAUGCGAGCAUCGAAUGGUGGAUAAUUUGCAUGCAGACUUGUCAAAAUAGUUUACCACAUUGAAUGACACCACAAGCUGAAAAGAUCUUCUUUCAAGAAUUCUUCAUCAGUCAUAAGGUUCCAAGAUUGCAUCGAAGGAAGAAUUGAGAGAAGGCCUAUAACCAGUAUCUUUCAUCUUCACAGUCAAUUCCUCCAAUAUAUCAUAUAUCUCAUCACCCUGAGGAUGGUUUUGGUUCCUAGAUACGAAACAGUUCAAAAAACCGCUAAUAUCAAUCCAACUACAUCCAGUCUCCUUCCUCAAACCUUUUUCCCUCAUUUGUUUCCUCACAUUAUCCACGUUUUCCCACUUGCCUUCCUCGGCAUACAUAUUUGAGAGUAAAACAUGGUAGCCCCUUUUGCCAUUUGCUGCCUCUAGUUCAAGCAAUUUCCCAGCAACAAUCUUUCCCAAUUCAAAAUGUUUAUGAAUUCUGCACGCCCCAAGAAGUGAGCCCCAAAUUUCCAUCGCAUCACCCUCUUCGCCCAACCCUUUGACAAACUCGUAGGCUCAACCAUUCUCCCAACCCUCCCUAACAUGUCUGCUAUACAGCAAUAGUGUGCCGUUAGUGGUUUAAUAUUGUAUUCCCUUUUCAUUGAAUCAUAUAUCAAAAGACCUUCGUUAACCAAACCAGCAUAACUGCAGGCAGACAAGACUGCAACAAAGGUUAUGGCAUCAGGUGCAAUGCCAGAUUUCUGCAUUGAGUGAAACAAAGAGAGAGCUCUCUCACCCACUCCAUGCUGACCGUAGCCCAGUAUCAUUGUGGUAUAUGUGACAGAGUUCUUCUCAUGGGAUCCAGCGAAAACAUUUUCAGCAUAAGUGACUGCACCACAUUUGGAAUACAUGUCAAUUAGAGCAGAUCCCACGAAGACGUUUUGGGCAAGGUAGUGGCGGAUAGAGAACCCAUGGAGUUGCUUACCCAUAUCUAUGUUUCCCACUAUAUUACAAGCUGGGAGAACCGAUGCUAAGGUCACAGCAUUUGGGAUUAGAUUUUGCUCAAGCAUCUGCCUAAAGACAAAGAAAGCUUCUUCAGAUAGCCCAUUCUGUGUGUACCCAGCAAUCAUAGAAUUCCAAGUAGCCUGAUCUCUAUCACGGCUGUAGUCUUUUUUGAAAACCCGUUCUGCGAUCCUUACUGAGCCAGAUUUAGCAUACAUAUCGAUGAGAUAACUGUCCAUCCCCUCAAAUUGUAUGUCAUGCCUAAUAAGAUAAGCAUGAGUCUGCUUUCCAAUAUCUGGAUUUCUAAGAUUUGAUGAAGCCGAAAGUAGAGCAGUUACAGUUACCGAAUCAAUCAUGAACCUUUGCUUUUGCAUCUCAUAAACAAGCAUCAAAGCUUCAUCAUCUAAACCAUUUUGCACGAAUGCAGAAAUCAUAGUAUUCCAUGAAACAACAUCCCUCUCAGGCAUCUUAUGAAAAAUUUUGAAUGACAUGUCAACAGAAUUGCACCUUGAAUACAUUACGAUAGUCGCAUUGAGUAAAAUAACGGGCAUCGAUCUCAAAUGCUUGAUGAUAAAAGCAUGCAGCUGUCCAGCUAAUUCCAACUGUUGCAUCUGUGAACAUGCAGUUAAAACUGAUAGGAAAGUCACCUCAUCAAGAAUAGCCACUUCUGAGUUUACAGCUUGAAAGAAGAGGUCGAUCGCUUCAAUAGGACGGUUGUUUUGAACAUAUGCACCGAUCAUAGUGUUCCAAAUCUCUGUAUUUCUCUCGGAACAAUGGUCAAAAAUCUUCCUAGCAUAUUCAAGCUCGGCAUACAUAAAUAUUGCCGAGCUCACAACAAACAAGUCAGUCACGUAUUCCCCACCCAACCUAAGAAGCAUACUGUAUAGUCUCCCAUAGCGGAAAGUGCAGGGAAAACAUUGACAAAACUGACAGCACUCGGUGUUAUUCUCAUUCCCAUCAUCAUCCUAAACUGCUUCACUGCUUCUGCAUAUCUUUCCGUCUUAACAUACCACGAAACCAGCGUAUUCCAAGCAACCACAUUCCUCUUGCGCAUUGUAUCAAACACUCUACGCACUAAAUCAUACUGUGAAUAAUCAAAGUCAUAAUAACAAGCAGAGUACAUAUUCAAAAGCGAAUUGCACACAAUCCUACUGGGGAUCGGAAGACACCGAAGAACAUGGCAAUGCAGGGCUUUACCCAUCUUGAAAUUACGCGUGUCGGUGCAGGCUUUGAGGGUAGAAGAGUAAGUGUAAGGGUCGGCCUUGGGCCGGGAGAGGCGGAUUUCAUCUGGGAGUAGAACAAGAGGGCUUCAUUGGCCAUGUUGCUGCAGAUGAAUCCAAUGAUGAUGGUGUUCCAGAGCACGGUGGAGGGGCCAGGCAAAGUGUCGAACAGUUGGCGGGCAAGGUGAGGAGGAGGGAUUCCUCCUGAAAAUGUUUUGCGGACGAUUCAUAAAAUUUCGUGCUAAUGAUCGAAACCAUUAAUGAUAUAAAUCAUUAUGGAAAAUAUCAUCUUUAUAAAAAAAAUUAAAAUGAUGGUAGUGAAGUCAAAUAACUGCAACAAAUAGAUAAAACAGCUCAUAAUACUUUUAAUAAUUCUGGCUAUAUAUAUUUACACAUUUUGAUGACAUAAUGAUUUCAUGUGAUGAUCUUUACACAACGACAUAUAAUAUGAACAAUUCUAACGACAAACACAAAAUUUUGAGUCCGUUACAACACAUUUUUAGGGGAUAUCCUUCUCAUCGUUUCAGUUGUAAAGUAUUAUUCUAAGCAUAUAUAUCAAUUGCAUGGCCUGUGGGAUGGGGGUGGUGUUUUAAUUCUUGGAUUUUUUUCAUGUGGAGGUGAUGAUGUCAUGCCUUUGCUGUCAUUUGCUAAUUUCUAAAACCCUAGCUAGUACAUGCUGUUGUCUGCAGUUAAGAUUUCGGAGUUUAUAACCAAUACAAAUGAAGAAGAAAAGUCACCAUAAUUUAUUACAAGUCGUAAGUAGAAGACUAUAUAGAGACCACAAAAAAACCACACAUAAGAUGAACGCGAUUUAAUUGAUGAAAUUGAGGUUCUAUCAUAAAAUCAAUUGGCAAUAUGAGGAGUAGCCCAAGAUCAUAUAAGCACAUAGCAAACCUUGUCCCUCACCAAUGUGGGACAACUCUCAACAUUAAUCACAUGCGUAGAGAAAGAGUGGGGCUAGCUGUGACUAUUUGUUUUGGCAGUGUAUAGUGUAUACUGGUUGAUGAAAUAGACAGUUUGUAUCGGUGAACUUAGGUCCCUCGUGAUUCCUUGGAUACCACACAACUACAAACACAAGACUUAUCUGCAUAUAUAUUCUCGCGCAUAGGAUCGAUGGAUUACAAGUUUACAACAAACACCAUGUAGAGCAGAAGAAUGUAGAUUUAUCUGCCCAAAAUAAAUUGAUUGAGUGUUAGUACAUGUCUAUGAAUAAGUUAGUGGUUGACAAUGCUCACAGCAUGUAAUGAAGAGUUGGUCAUCUGGAGCUUUCAUUAUUAUUAGUAAAAACUCUAUAUUGAAAAUGAUGUCAAAACAAAUUUUUAGGCAUGCAUUAGGUGCACAUACAAGCUGAAUUGAUCAGUAUUCAGUACAGGGCCAUUCUGAAAAUCUCGACAUCAGGAUUACUUGUUCACACAUUCGUAAGCAAGUUAGAUUUUCAAAGAAAAGAAAAUGUCACCACAAGAUUUUAAGAUUUGAUACGUUGAACUAUGUAUUAAUGGAAAACUUACAAUACAAACGUUGCAAAUUACAUAUCGUAAAAAUAAGCGAGGAGAAUAUAAAAGCCCCCCAACCCAAUUAAAUUUGAUCAAUAAAACGCCCUAAUGAAGAGUAAGAAGAACCACCAUCCACCAAGGCUUUCUUGCUCUUUUCACUCAUCUCCUUCACUCUUUUCCUUACAUCACUGUCAAGCUCCAUCACUCGCCUUAUCCCUCUUUCUAUGUCUUCUGCGCUCACCACCACGUCGCUGUCCUUCCUAUAAUCCAUCUUAAUCUCCACUGACAGUCCCAACUCCUUCACCAAUUGAAAGGCAUUCAGGUUUUGCUCCGCGUACAUUGGCCAUGCGGCAAUCGGCACGCCAUUCCAUAAGCUUUCCAACGUAGAAUUCCACCCGCAAUGUGAUACAAACGCUCCGGUUGCCGGAUGGCCUAGAAUGGCCGCUUGCGGGGCCCAACCAAUCACCUUCCCAACCGUAGCCGUCCGAUCAAGAAACCCUUCGGGCAAGACUGCCUUUGGAUCCUCGUAGUCGCUUGGCAUAGCUCUCUUGCCUUUAGGUGGGGGCCGGCGUAGGGACCACAAAAACCGAUGUCCGCUGUGCUCUAGCGCGCACGCUAUCUCAUUCACCUGGGCCUCACCGAAACUUCCCAUGCUUCCAAAACACAGGAACACCACCGAGAAAGGAGGCUGAUCAUCAAGCCACCUCAAGAUAUCCGAGACCUUAUCUUCAUCACUACUUUUGAGGUUCAAUAAGGGUCCCACCGGAUACACCGGUGGGAUUUUAUCACCAGAAUCAAGAUAAUGAAGAGCAGGCGAUUCUAGCUCCAUGAAUGUAUUAACCAAAAUACCCUUGGUUUGUUUAAACCUGUUGACGGAGUCGAGGAUUGUUUUGGUGCUCUCCUUGUCCAGAAACGAACCAGGCAAGACAGAGGCAGGGUAAGGGUUGAUGAAACUCGGGACGGCCAACUCAGCGGUUGAGCUCGUCAACUCAGUUAUAUCUAUUCCCCCCUCGUCACGAAGCGAUUGAAAAUGGAACAUAAGUGCGAGAGUCGAAGCGUUGGAGGUGAAGAACAGGUAGGAGGGAACCUUAAAUUCGUUGGCCACGUCCAUUAGGCUUGCGCAAAACAUGUCGAGCACGAACCCGGCAAGCCGAGGCUUCGACGUCGACUCAGACUGAUCUGACUCGGGGAGUAAGUUGAUAACGGCGUCUCUGACGUGAGAUGUGUGAUUUUCGACGAGCAUUCUUAAGAAGGACCCGGGAUUGGGGACAGUGUCUUGUUUGUCCGAUUGGGCUUCUGGGAGGUUGACGAAGUCGAUGCGGUGAGAGAUUGAAGAAUCAGUGUUGGUGAAUGGUUGGGCGUAGGGAAGCUUCAUGACGAGGACUGUGAUAAACAGUUGGUCGUCCCGAGCAACGAGUUGCUUUGCCAUCUCGACCGUUGGUACCAUGUGGCCGAUGAUGCCUGGGGCGGGAACGAACACUAGUUGUGCUGGUCUCUUCAUCUUUUGAGAAAUGGCAAUGAAUAGCUGAGCUGUUUUAUUUAGAAAAACUCUUUCAUUUUAUAGUAGAAUGGUAUGAUGUCAUGCCUUCGCUCAUAGUUCUGAAUUUCCUACAAGUCAAGAUCUUAAUUACUUUCCAGACUGGAAAGACUUGGACAUCAAUAGCAAGAAGAUAAAACAAAGGGUUGUCAAAUUUUAUUUUGGUUCCAUCACCAGUCGUAAGGCUAGUUUGAUAUUGUUGUGAUUUGAAAAAAAAACUGUUUUUAUUGUGUUGUGAAAAUAAGCAGCAAUGAAAUAAAGCAGCAGAAUGUUUGGUAAACUUUUUUGUAAAAGUGCUUUUGAAAAAAAAUACAGUAUUAUAGUGCUUGGUAAAAUUUUAUAUAAAACAUAUGUGAAAAAAAAAUCGGUUUUUCAAAGCUAGGUUUUGCAGCUUUGUGUUUUUGGCUUUUUUCAUCCAAAACUGUGGAAAAAAACUGAAGUUGAAUGUUUACCAAACACAAAAAAACUAAGAACUUUUUUUUGUACCUAUUUUUUUCAGAACCACCUCAGUACCAAAUCAGGCCGUAGUCUAUAGAAAAGUACCACCAAUUAAGUUUCACUUUUAAUUUUGGUACUUACGUUUCAUAUUGCCUUGAGUAGAAUGUUGAAGAAUUGAAAACCGACAUGGUUCACACGCGGUCAAGAUUUCAGUUACUAUUACUAAGCACACCAUGUUCUCUACAGUGGUUAUCUUUUCUUCUUCUUUUCUCAAAAGCAACGAAAGAUUCAUCAUCGAAUUAGAAUCUUGUUCACAAUUGGAAUGCUGGGGUUAGGUUUUGUUCACAAUUGGAACAGUAGUAUAGUCCGAUACCAAGACGUCAAAGCGGGGUAAGCAGCCACUAUACUAAUCACAAAACGAAACUUUCUCAACUUAGUUACAUGCACAAUCAGCCAUAUGUUAAAUUUAAUCACAAAAUAUUUUGUUGCAAGAAAUGAAGUCAUUCAAUACACGUAAUUUAAUAUGUAGAGUUUCUGAUGUGGAAUUACAUUCUUUAACAAGAUUUCAUUCAUGGGAAGCCAAUCAAAUCAGCCCAAUUGAGUGUAAAAUAAUAGGCACGAGUAAACCAUGUCUAGUGUUGAAACUCACAAUUGUAACCCAAAAAGCAAAUAAUAGUUCAUUAAUGAAAGAAGUAAACUGUGAAAUCGGCAAAAUCAUUUUCAUUAGUUGUUAAGUAACGGUUCACGUAAAAGAAUUCGUUAACUAAAUCUGCAAAGCAGACUAAUUACGUGGAAGAGUUGACGAAGUCAUUAACUAAACAAGAAGUCAUUUUGCAAUCCAUCUUUCACGCUUGUACCAUCUCAAUUAGAAAAGUGGUUGGGAUUUGUCAAACUACUGGUGUAAGAUGCAGCGUGACAUAAUUGUUUCAGAAUUAUAUGAACCGACCAAAUGUAUAGGGCAACACAGUAUUUUAAUGCGCGUAGUAGACUAAUAGUGACAUGUAAACAACACAAAUAAAAGAUAACAAAUUUUCCUAAAAAAUUUUCUUAAACUCUUUGAAUUUUCAAAGUUCUCCUUAAGAAUGAUCAAUAAUCUUUGACAAAUCAAAGGGAAAAUUUGAUCAACAAAACGUCCGAAAGAAUUGUAAGAGGAACAAUCAACCAUCAAGGCUUUCUUGCUCCUCACCAUGUCCUUCAACCUCUUCCUCACAUCACUAUCCUUCUCCAUCAUCUCCUUUAUCCUACGCUCCUGUUCAUGUGCCUUAACAUUCGGACUCUCACCGUAAAAGUCCUUCCUGUACUAGAUAUUAAUUUCCUCGGCCAAUCCCAAUUCCCUGUCCAACUCAAAUGCAUUGUUAGAGCAUCUCCAAAGGAGAUAUCAAAAUGUCCACUUAAGUUAUAACAGUAAAAAAAGACCAAGUGAUCUCCAACCGAAAUGUCAAAUCCUACGUGACGAUGACAUAAAUUGGCAGCAAGAGAGUUGUUGUCAAAUUUAACAGCAGCUUUAAAAUUAAUUAUUAAUGCUUUUUAUUAAUUUUUUAUUGAUUUAAUCAUCAUUCCAAUUAACGUUGUUGUUGACCCCUCUUUUCUUUUUAACACCGCCUGAUUAAUAUAUAAGGGAAACGGUACCAUUUUGCAAUUAAUGUCGCAAUUAAGUUUUUAUUAAUUUAAUCAUUUAUUUUAUAAUAUAACAAAAUAAUAAUUUAAUUUGACUUAUUGGGUGGACAAUAAAAAUUUUAAAAGAUGUCAAAAUGCCACAUAGGCUGUCAAAUUUUAAUUUUAUGUUCAAAAUUUGACAUCUCCUUUGAAAAUGCUCUUAGCCUCGUACAAUGGCCACAUCGCAACCGGCACGCCAAACCAUAGGCUUUCCAACUUGGAGUGUGAAAUCUGAUUCCCAGAUGUCACUAAUUAAUCUUAGGUAUACACAAAAUUACUUUAUUUUCGUUAAUUUUAGAGUUUUAGUUACUUAGCUAUAAAUUUUGAAUUUUCGUAAAUAGUUAUUUAAAAUAGAAAAAAUUAGUGUCCAGUCCAUAAUUUCUAAUAUUCAUUGAUUAAGACUUUAUUAGUUUUUAGAUUUUGAUCAAAGUCCUUAUCAUUAAUAUAUUAAUGAAUUAUAUGUAAGUUACAUAAUUUUUAUAAUAAAAAUUAGUAAUUGAUUUAGAGUUUUAAUACUCACACCCUUAUUAAAAUCCUAAUUAAUUUUCAAUUCAAACAUUUUCAAAAUAUAAAAAAUAAAAUUAGAAUAAGUUUGUACCCAUUACAUUUUUACAAAAAAAAAAUGAUAUGUACCAAUUUGUUAUAUGAAAAAUGUACCCUUUUUUUUAAUACACAAUAUGUACUAAUUUGUUAUAUGAAAAGUGUACCCUUUUUUUAAUACACAAUGUACCCAUUUUUUUAUAUAAAAUUCAUUCAAUAUUUUCUCUAAUCCAUUUUAAAACUUAUAUGGGUACAUUCUAUUUCGUUGAUUUGAAAAUGUAUUAUGUCAAGUUUAAUAGAAGAAAUUUAAUAAUGUUAUUAAGCCUAAUAUCUUCUUCUUUUUUUUGUCUUUUUGAAAAAUGUACCCAUGUUUUGGUACAAUAAUUUUUUGGUUAGUAUUUUUUAUGAACGUACUCAUGUAUAAUAUAUAUAUAUAUAUAUAUAUAUAUAUAUAUAUAUGGAUACACACAAUAUAUUGGAGAGUAUAAUUUAUUUUUAAUAUUUUUAAUCCCAUAGAUUAUGGGUUUUAUUUUAAAUCUCAUUAAUAUAAAUAACUACAAAUUUUAUUUUUAAGUUAAAAAUAUAAUAACCACUGUUCUAAAAAUCCCCGCCUAGCGCCGCCUAGGCGCUAGGCCCCAGCCCACCGGCCCCAAUUAAUGCCUAGGCCCCAGCCCACCGCCUAGACCACCUAGGCACCCGCCUAGCCCGCCUAGGCCCCCACCUAGCCCGCCUAGGCACCCGCCUAGCCCGCCUAGGUUGCAACUCACUUAGACAGAAAAUACAUAACUUUCAUUUUGCAUUUUGUUUUUUUCCAAUAAAUUGUAAGAGACUUGUUGCAUACUUGAAUGAACAAACAUAAAUCCUUAUUUCACAUGUUUUCAUUAUGUUCCAAUACUUCAUGAUAUAUAUGCAUUCUAUUUUGUAGUUUAUGAUGAAAUUAUAUAUAUUUCAAGUAGAAGCAGACACUUAUUUACCUGAAAUAUGAUAGAUUUACUUAAAUCCGCCUAGUCCGCCUAGGCUCCCGCCUAGCCGCCUAGGCGCUAGGCCCCAGCCCGCCGCCCGACUAGCGCCUAGCGAUUUUUAGAACCUUGAUAAUAACUUAUAUAGAAAUACAUUAUUACAUUACUGUCAAGGACUUCGAUCAAAAACUAAAAAUCACAAAGGUUUCAAUCAAAGAACAUUGAUAGUUAGGGACCGCAUCCAAAAUGCCCAUUUAAAAUAUAUAGACCUUUUAGGGUCAUCCUUAAUGUUUUUGAAUAGAGUUCGAUUCCACGGGUGCAUAGGCAAAAAUUGUUUGUGAAGUGGACCAUAACUAAGAAAUUACAAGCAACAUAAGUCAGGUUCAAAUAGUAAUUUUAGACUUGCUAUAAAUAGCAAGUCAAAAUAUGUGGAAAAGGAAGUGGACAGCUGACCCGGACGUGACCCGUUUACCCUGGCGCGAACCGACUUCAAACCCGUUUCCUGCAGCCUUUUUCGACGCCUACUCGAGAGUUUUUCUAGCGAAUCGAAGCCACCGACCACUAGAAAACAACUAAGCGUCACCCCAACUUUCAUUUCGACCCGAAUGAACGUCGUCGUCUUCCCUGAGCUCAAGACGGCGAUCUCGCCGUUCCUGCACGUUCUGACACCAUCCACCACCACCACCUGACUCACCUCGACCCCAGAAACAAAACCCUAACUUUCAUUUGGGCGUUAGUGCAACGAGCUUCCCACCAAACGAGGCUUUUCACGGCAAUUUCACUGUUCUCAAUCCAGUUUCAGGCCCCGACACGGGUAUAAUAUUGAGAAAUACUUGGAAAUCAAGCCAGAUAAUUAAAAAGGUAUCAAAUUUGAUUUUGGUUCCACUAGUAUUCGUAGUCCACUAUGCAAUUGCUUUGCCAUUAUGUAUAAAGUAGGUCAAAGAGUAGGAAUUGAAAACAUAUAUCUAUGGAUUAGCACUACCAAUUAAGUUUCACUUUUUUUAUUUUGGUACUCAGCACUUACCAUAUGUUUCAUAUUGUCUUGAGUAGAAAGUUGAACAAUUGAAAAUCGACCCGAUGCACGCACAUUCAGUCAAGAUUUCAAUUACUUAGCACACCAAUGUUGUUCUAGUUUAAUCAACAUAAAAUCUGACAUGUACUGUUCAUUUGAGGAUAUCCGAUCAUGUUUGGACGAUAGGAUGGGGAAGGGAGGAGGAGUCUGGCAUGUGUUGUUCUUACCAUAGGAGGCCUCUGUGUAUUAAGAGUGAAUUUACUUAAUAUGAGUUGUAAAUUAUGAUCUAUCAAGUUUUUACUCUAAGAUUACAUCAUUUAAAACCAUCUUUAGUGGACCAUAAGUGCAACCAAUUCGACAUUGAUAAACUUUUCGUUUUGUAAAGCAAUGAAAGAUUCAUCAUCAAAUCAGAAUCUUGUUCACAAUGAAAUGUUGCGGUCAAGGUUUGUUCACAAUUGAAACGGCAAUAAGGUCAUGUCGGGUCAAGGGAAACCCGCAAUGUUACCAAUACAUCAAAGUCAGGCAAGCGGCCAACUACUAAUUACAAAUAAAACUUUCUCAACUUAAUUACAUGCAUGGUCCAACAUAUGUUGAAUUCUAUCCAAAAAAAUUAUGAUGCAAAAAGUGAAGUCAUUCAAUACACGUAAUUUAAUACAUAGAGUUUCCAAUAUGGAAUGAUUCUUCAACAAGAUUUCAUUCACAGAAAGCCAAUAAAAUUGAAAGUUUUAACGACACUCUUGGUAUUAUUCACUUUUAACGAAAAACCACAUUAACUAGGUCUAGCUUUGAAACCUCGGCAAAUCAAUUUAAUUAAUUGGAAGAAUUUGAAGAAGUCAUUAACCACACAAGAAGUAAUUUUGCAAUAUUUUCAGGCUUGUACCAUUUCAAUUAGAAAAGUGGUUAUGAUUUGUCAACUGCUGGUGUAACAUGUGUGACACGAUUGUUUCGAAAAUAUACGAACCGACCGAAUGUAUAUGACAAUAUGUUCAAGGGCGUCAGAGAUAUUGAAGCAAUAAUAAUGAAAAAGGAUUGUCUGCCCUUUCACUUCUGAUGCUCUUUCAUGCCUUCCUGUUUUGUGUGAUCACGGUUAAACCACGUCAACAUUUUAUAUUGUUUUUUUUAUAGAUAUAAUAAAACAAAAAUGAAUAGUAAUAUAAAAAGUUAACGUGGCUUAACUAUAACCACACAAACAGGAGGGCACGGGAGGGCACCGAAAGUGGGAGGGCAGACAAUCCUUGUCCAAUAAAGAGUACAUGUAACAAUACAAAAAAUAUCUUAAUGCGCAUAAUACAAUAGCAAAAUGUAAAAAAUCUUUAUAUAUCUUUAUAUAUAAAGCCAACAACUUUUUUUGGAAUCACAAGUUUCACAAAAAAAAAUUUAGACAAAAAUGCUACGAAAACAAAAAAAAAAUCAAAAGAAACCCAAAAUAAUGCAGGAGUAUUUUCAUCAUUUUAAUAGUAUUUUUUUAAAUAAUUAAUUCUUUUUGUACAACUUUUUUUUAAAAAAAAAUUAGUACCUCACAAUAGGUUAGCAAUAAUAAUUCAAUCAAUUGUUCAUUAAAUAUUGUUUUCUCUAUUUUUAAACAUGUUCAAAACAUCUUAAGAUGCGUGUAAUGCCUGUUAUAAAAAAAGCAUUUCACACGCGCAUAAUAAUGUGAUGAAAUUAGUUGUCAAAUGAUUUUUUUUUCUUGAACAAACGAUAUUAUCUUCAUUAAAGGGGAAGGGGUGGGCUUAGCCUCACAAUGAGCUAGUAAUAAUGUGAUUCAAUCAGUUAUUUAUUAAAUAUUAUUUUCUCUAUUCUAAAUGUAAAUUCAAUUGUUUUGAUUGGUCUAUGAGGGGUUUUUUUCUAGCAAGAUCUAAGAUUAUUCAUUUAUUUCAAAUAUUUGACUUUCCGUUUGUCAAUUCACGCAUAUAAAUACGUUUACAAUGUGUAAAUCACGCGAAAUACGCCGUGAUUCAAAAAAUAUCUUCUGCACGUUUGUGACAGUGUGCAUGAAGGCUAGUAAAAAUAAAUGACAACAUAUUUUCCAAGAAAAAUUUAACCCUUUGAAUUUCCAAAUUUCUCCUUGAGAAUGAUCAUAAUCUUUCACAAAUCAUAGGGAAAUUUGAUCAAGAAAACGUCCCAAUGAAUUGUAAGAGGAGCCACCAACCAUCAGGGCUUUCUUGCUCUUCUCACUCAUGUCCUUCACCCUCUUCCUCACAUCACUAUCCUUCUCCAUCAACUCCUUUAUCCCUUGCUCUAGUUCAUGUGCCUUCACAACAUUUGGGUACUCACCGUACAAGUCCCUCCUAUACUCCAUAUUAACUUCCACGGCCAAUCCUAAUUCCCUCACCAACUCAAAUGCAUUUAGUUGUUGCUCCGCGUACACCGGCCAAGCGGCGACCGGUACGCCAAACCAUAGGCUCUCCAACGUGGAAUUCCACCCGCAAUGGGACACGAACCCUCCGACGGCCGGGUGGGCUAGGAUCGCCGUUUGCGGAGCCCAACCUAUGACCUUCCCAAUCCCAGCUGUCCGAUCGAGGAAUCCUUCAGGUAGGACUGCCUUAGGAUCCGAAUAGUCACUAGGGGAAGCGAUAAUCCCCUUUGGUGGGGGCUGGCGCAGCGACCACAAGAAGCGAUGCCCGCUCUGCUCCAGCCCCGAUGCUAUCUCCCUCACCUGGUCCACACCAAAGCUUCCCAUGCUCCCAAAGCACAGGAACACCACAGAUGAAUCGGGCUGGUCAUCUAGCCACUCCAAUAUAUCCGACUUCUGCUGAGCCUGCUUCGAACCCACUUCGGUUUCACUGCUCUUUAGGUUCAGAAUAGGUCCCACAGGGUACACAGGUGGGGUCUUACCAUCAGAAAGUGAAUCAAGGGCGUGUGAUUCCAACUCAACGAACGUAUUUAUCAGAAUACCCUUGAGUUCUCUAAACCUGUUGGCAUAGCCAAGGAAAGCUUUCGCACCAUCCUUGUCCAAAAGGACGCUUGGCAAAACUCCAGCCGGAACCGAGUCGACAAAAGUUGGCAGUGUCAACUCAGCAUCCGAGCCCUUGAACUCGCUUACGUGCUUGCCAUACACGUCGCGAAUCGUUUGGAUAUUAAGUACCAGCCCGAGAAACCCGGCCGGCGAAGUGAAGAACAUGUACGUAGGAACUCCGAAAUCAUUGGCCACGUCGAUCAUUGUCGUGCAAAACAUGUCGAUGACAAACCCGGCAACCCGAGUCGACUCGGACUCUGACUCGGCGAGUUUGGAGACAGCAUCUUUGACGUAGGGUUUGUGGCUCUCGAUGAAUUGGCUGCGGAAGGCGUUGGGACUUUUGCGCGUGUCGAUGUCGGAGGCGGCCUGUGGGAGGGUGAUGAAGUUGACACGUGACAACACGGGAGAGGAUUGGAGGGAGGAUAUGUAGGCCUCUGUACCCUUGGAUUCGAAGGGGAGCUUCAUGAUGAGGACUGUGAUGAAGAGUUUCUCGUCUCGAGAGACAAGGAGCUUUGCCAUCUCCACAGCGGAGAUGAGGUGGCCGGUGCCGGCGGAGGGGAUGAAGACGAGUUUCGUUGGUUGCUUCAUUUGGAAAUUUAUUAGGAGUUUGAUAGCUUUGGAGGAAAUGAAAAUUUAAUUAGCUGAUUGAUGUACAAGCUUCUUUUCUUUAGAUGUGUG
rnacentral:lncRNA from 1 species